UACAGAGGGUGCAAGCGUUGUUCGGAAUUAUGGGGCGUAAAGCGCGUGUAGGCGGCUUAGCAAGUCGGGCGUGAAAGCCCUCGGCUCAACCGAGGAAGUGCACCCGAAACUGCUGAGCUUGAGUGCCGGAGAGGAUGGCGGAAUUCCCCAAGUAGAGGUGAAAUUCGUAGAUAUGGGGAGGAACACCGGUGGCGAAGGCGGCCAUCUGGACGGUAACUGACGCUGAGGCACGAAGGCCAGGGGAGCAAACGGG
rnacentral:rRNA from 1 species